rnacentral:misc_RNA from 1 species
GGGUGAGAUUGAAGAUCUUAAUGUAGCUGAUAUUGUGGAUAUUGAGAAGGACUUGCCUGACGGUGGCCAAGUAGCUGAAAUGGAUGUUAUUCCCGACUUAGAUCCUACUAGAGAUGAUGAAAAACCUGUUCAAGAGAUCGGACCUUUGUCAGCUGAUUGGCAUGCGCAUAAACAACGUGAGGUCCAAAUGGGCAAGCUUCCUCGUGAAGCAGAAAAUGUUAGUUACCAAAACCAUUCUAGUGAAAUUGGAAGCAUUGACAAGGAUAGCUUCAGGGAUGAGCUGUCUAAUAGCGUCCAAAAAUCUCAAAAAAGUAAAACUAAAAGAGCGCGUGAUGAAA